CGGAAGGUCCGGGCGUUAUCCGGAUUUAUUGGGUUUAAAGGGAGCGUAGGCCGGAGAUUAAGCGUGUUGUGAAAUGUAGAUGCUCAACAUCUGCACUGCAGCGCGAACUGGUUUCCUUGAGUACGCACAAAGUGGGCGGAAUUCGUGGUGUAGCGGUGAAAUGACUUAGAUAUCACGAAAGAACUCCGAAUUGCCGAACG
rnacentral:rRNA from 1 species